rnacentral:rRNA from 1 species
UACGGAGGGUGCAAGCGUUAUCCGGAUUCACUGGGUUUAAAGGGUGCGUAGGCGGACAGGUAAGUCAGCGGUGAAAUCUCCGAGCUUAACUCGGAAACUGCCUUUGAUACUCUCUGUCUUGAAUAUGGUGGAGGUAAGCGGAAUAUGUCAUGUAGCGGUGAAAUGCUUAGAGAUGACAUAGAACACCUAUUGCGAAGGCAGCUUACUACGCCUAUAUUGACGCUGAGGCACGAAAGCGUGGGGAUCAAACAGG